GCCCGCCUAGCUCAAUCGGAUAGAGCGUCAGACUCUUAUUUCUUGGCUGCAUCUGAAGGCUGCGAGUUCGACCCUCGCGGUGGGCU